rnacentral:rRNA from 1 species
GAUGAACGCUGGCGGCGUGCCUAAUACAUGCAAGUCGAGCGAACAGAUGAGGAGCUUGCUCCUCUGACGUUAGCGGCGGACGGGUGAGUAACACGUGGAUAACCUACCUAUAAGACUGGGAUAACUUCGGGAAACCGGAGCUAAUACCGGAUAAUAUAUUGAACCGCAUGGUUCAAUAGUGAAAGACGGUUUUGCUGUCACUUAUAGAUGGAUCCGCGCCGCAUUAGCUAGUUGGUAAGGUAACGGCUUACCAAGGCAACGAUGCGUAGCCGACCGGAGAGGGUGAUCGGCCACACUGGAACUGAGACACGGUCCAGACUCCUACGGGAGGCAGCAGUAGGGAAUCUUCCGCAAUGGGCGAAAGCCUGACGGAGCAACGCCGCGUGAGUGAUGAAGGUCUUCGGAUCGUAAAACUCUGUUAUUAGGGAAGAACAAAUGUGUAAGUAACUAUGCACGUCUUGACGGUACCUAAACAGAAAGCCACGGCUAACUACGUG